rnacentral:rRNA from 1 species
AUUGAACGCUGGCGGCAGGCCUAACACAUGCUAGUCGAGCGGAUGAAGGGAGCUUGCUCCUGGAUUCAGCGGCGGACGGGUGAGUAAUGCCUAGGAAUCUGCCUGGUAGUGGGGGAUAACGUCCGGAAACGGGCGCUAAUACCGCAUACGUCCUGAGGGAGAAAGUGGGGGAUCUUCGGACCUCACGCUAUCAGAUGAGCCUAGGUCGGAUUAGCUAGUUGGUGGGGUAAAGGCCUACCAAGGCGACGAUCCGUAACUGGUCUGAGAGGAUGAUCAGUCACACUGGAACUGAGACACGGUCCAGACUCCUACGGGAGGCAGCAGUGGGGAAUAUUGGACAAUGGGCGAAAGCCUGAUCCAGCCAUGCCGCGUGUGUGAAGAAGGUCUUCGGAUUGUAAAGCACUUUAAGUUGGGAGGAAGGGCAGUAAGUUAAUACCUUGCUGUUUUGACGUUACCAACAGAAUAAGCACCGGCUAACUUCGUG